rnacentral:rRNA from 1 species
UACAGAGGUGGCAAGCGUUGUUCGGAAUUACUGGGCGUAAAGGGCGCGUAGGCGGCCUUCUAAGUCAGACGUGAAAUCCCCCGGCUUAACCUGGGAACUGCGUCUGAUACUGGGAGGCUUGAGCAUGGGAGAGGGAUGUAGAAUUCCAGGUGUAGCGGUGAAAUGACGUAGAUAUCUGGAGGAAUACCGGGUGGCGAAGGCGGCAUCCUGGACCAUAACUGACGCUGAGGCGCGAAAGCUAGGGGAGCAAACGGG